GCCUCAGUGGCUUAGCUGGCAGAGCGGGUGACUUGUAAUCACCAGGUCCCGAGUUCAAAUCUCGGCUGGGGCUCUA
rnacentral:tRNA from 2 species